rnacentral:rRNA from 1 species
GACGAACGCUGGCGGCGUGCUUAACACAUGCAAGUCGAACGGAAAGGCCCUGCUUUUGUGGGGUGCUCGAGUGGCGAACGGGUGAGUAACACGUGAGUAACCUGCCCUUGACUUUGGGAUAACUUCAGGAAACUGGGGCUAAUACCGGAUAGGAGCUCCUGCUGCAUGGUGGGGGUUGGAAAGUUUCGGCGGUUGGGGAUGGACUCGCGGCUUAUCAGCUUGUUGGUGGGGUAGUGGCUUACCAAGGCUUUGGCGGGUAGCCGGCCUGAGAGGGUGACCGGCCACAUUGGGACUGAGAUACGGCCCAGACUCCUACGGGAGGCAGCAGUGGGGAAUAUUGCACAAUGGGCGGAAGCCUGAUGCAGCAACGCCGCGUGCGGGAUGACGGCCUUCGGGUUGUAAGCCGCUUUCGCCUGUGACGAAGCGUGAGUGACGGUAAUGGGUAAAGAAGCACCGGCUAACUACGUG